rnacentral:tRNA from 2 species
UAGAAAAUAGUUUAACCAGUAAAACUAAGAAAUUUGAAUUCUUUAAUACAAGUGCAACCCUUGUUUUUCUAA